GAAUAAAAAAAAGCUGUAUAAUGCACCAGAAAAGUGGAAACUUCAAACUUUAAAUAAGGCCGUGAUUUAAACUUUACUGUUGUCUGUUUACUGUUAUAAGACUUACCUAUAACUUAAAUACUUGAUAAUAUAAUAAAUAAAAUAAAGCUAUAUAAAGCUAUAUAAAUAAAGCUGUAUAAUGCACCAGAAAAGUGAAAACUUCAAACUUUAAAUAAGGCCGUGAUUUAAACUUUACUGUUGUUUAUUGUUUAAAAUUAUCACUAUAGUCUAUAAUCUAUAACCCUACUUGCCACUAGCGCUCUAAAGAUGCGGUGAAAAUGUAUACUAAAUCCGUAUCGCGUACUGACCGCAACUGCCAAUGCUAUUUAGAUAGACGAUAGCUAACCUGUAUAUCUUUAACCGUGGUCUACAGUAGUCAUAGUCUUCUGCCCCAUAGAAUAUAGCUAAUCUGCCCCACUAAUCGGUGUAGCACGUGCAAAAUUAUGGUUACAGCACAGAGCAUAAUAUGUUUUAUGGUUACUGUUUAUCAAAAAAUGAUAAGCACUAAUCAACGGAAACUCCAAGCCAACUAUUAUUUUGAACGGUGUUGGAAAUUGUGUAUAUUUUGUUUUGUCGUUAUAACUAAUCACAACUGUAACUUUCGUGCGCAUGUACCUAUUAUUGUUGUACUUGAUAUUUUAUUCCGGUUCAGUUGUUUAAAAUGUUCAACGAUUCCGAUCCAUGUGAUCGCAGCUGUACGAAAUUGGCUACUGUAUUUCCUUCGGUUUCAAAACUACACAAUUUGAAUACAUGUUUGAACAAUUUAACUGCACUAGAUUUGAGCUCCAGUAGUUUAUGCGAAGUACCCGAAAUCGUCGGAAACCUGGGAAAUAUUGUUGAACUCAAUUUAUCAUCAAAUGAAUUAACUACACUGCCGCUUACAUUUGUCAAGCUUCAACAUUUAACACGUUUAAAUUUAUCACAUAACAAUUUUGUAGCGAUUCCUCAAUGUUUGAUGAAUGGAAUGGACCACUUAGUUAUACUUGAUUUGUCUCAUAACCAGCUUUUAAAUAUCAACACAAAACCACUCUGUGUUCAACACUUACGGUCUUUAAAUAUCAGUUACAAUUUAAAAUUGAAUAGUCUUCCACUUUGGUUAUGGUCAAUUGAAUGUACUUCAAUAGAGUCGUUAAAUUUAUCCUUUACAUAUUGUCUAGAUAAUAUUCAAGCAGAUCCUUAUUUGAACAUGUACGGCAUUGCCAGACAUUUGAAGUAUUUGAAUAUUUCAUGUACUAACGCUGAUGUUCUUAAAUUAGAUUUCAUCAAACAUUUAAAAAAUAUUAGAUCCCUUGUUUUGGAUAAUAAAGAUACAAAAAUAAAACAACAACAUAAUUUUUUCAUUAAAGUACCAUUGGUAUUUAAUUAUAGAUUUAAAUUGAUCGAUUCAUUAAGUAUGUCUAAUGUUAAUUUAUCAAGCAUUGGAAAACGUGUAUAUUUCAGUUUACCAAAUUUACGGUUGUUGAAUUUGUCCAAUAAUGCUAUUGUUUUGCUACCAGAUUCAUUGAGUCAAUUGACAAAUUUAGAAGUAUGUGAUUUUUCAAACAAUCAAAUUUUAACAGUUCCUGAAAGUUUCAGAAAUUUAAAAAAUUUGAAAACAUUAGUAUUGAAUAACAAUUGGUUAUUAUCAUUUCCAAAUAUCAUUACUCACCUUAUGAAAUUGGAGUUUUUGGAUUUAUAUAAUAAUAAAUUAGAUGCAAUUCCAUUGUGGGACAUAAACAGCAGUAUUAAAUCAGUUGACUUUGAACAAAAUGUAUUUUCUACAGAAAGCAUUACUGAAAUAAAUUAUUCAAAGCUGUUAAAAAAUCUACGAUUGUCUAUAAAUGAAAAUCGUAUUAUAGGACCUUUACAUGUUGAAGAUUCUAAUGAUCUAGAAUUUUCAAAUGAAAGUGUUGAAUCAAGCAGCUAUUUUGAUUGCAGUUCGUCAGAAAAUAGUUUUCAUGAAGGAAAUCAAGAGGAUACAAAUUUUACUCCUGAAGAAUGUUGGGAGUGCAAUUCAUAUGAGCAUACCACUGCUGUAUUUGAUCCUAAAGAAUUUGAAAAGAGUUUAUUUGAUGAAUUAAUAAAAUUAAACUCAAUAACUUAUGAAGAAAUAACUAAAGAAAAAAAUAUUUUCCACAACGUCGUAUAUUUAACUAAUGAACAUUAUUUUUGCCCAAAUGAUGAACUUCCUAAAAUAUAACCCAGUAUAUUAUGGUAUUUGUUGAAAAUCUUUAUAGUCUUAUGUCUUAAUAGAAUAUUAAAGAAAGUAUAAUACUUGUUGGUGACGAACAUUUAUUCCUUGAAUAUUAGUUAAUGACAAAAAUGAGAUUUAUAAGGAUAAUAAUCAUAUACAGAACAACUUGUAAUAAUUACUAUCUUGAGAAGUGUAGAUAAGACAAAAGAUGAAAAACAAAUAGAUGAUGGCUAUUCAACUGGUAUAUAUAGAGGCAAUAAUGCUCGUUUAGUAGAAAGUGAAUUUUCAAUAGGAUAAGAUAUGAUGGUGCCAAUUAUAUCAGUGGAAAGGUUCAAGGAAUAAAGUCAUAUAUUUAGUGUAAAUAUCUAUGUACACUGUGAUACACAUUUAUUAAAUCGUGCAGUUUCAGCAGAAAGUAACAAAAACUAAAAAGUACAAUUAAGUAAAUAAAGUCUAUUGAAAAUUGGUUAAAUAUAAUUGAAAAAAUCUAUACAUUUUUUAACACACCAAUACGAAGUGUGGUUAUAUAUCAUGUUAUUGACAUUGAAAAUAUAGUCGUAGAUGGGAGUACAGACUUCAUUAAUCACAAUAAGGAAAUUCUUAAACUCCUUUUUAUUUAUUCCAUAAUUAAGAAAAUGGUAAAAUAAAUUGAUCUGUAAAAUGUUUACAUUUCAGGGUUUACCAAAUAUAAAUAUUUGCUAACAAAGUCUACAAUCGGAAAUGAUGGUUGCUAAAAACUAUUUAAGAAAACCUGAAAAAGAUAGUAUUUCCAAAUUUUUAUAAACUGAUACAUUUUGCAUUAACAUAGCCUAUUAGUUCUACUACAUGUGAAAGGAGUUUUUUAACGAUUAUAAAAAUUAAAACAUGGUUAAGAAUAUCAAUGCAACAAA
rnacentral:misc_RNA from 1 species